CACUAUCGUUAACUGAAUACAUAGGUUAACGAGGCGAACCGGGGGAACUGAAACAUCUAAGUACCCCGAGGAAAAGAAAUCAACCGAGAUUCCCCCAGUAGCGGCGAGCGAACGGGGAGCAGCCCAGAGUCUGAAUCAGCUUGUGUGUUAGUGGAACGGUCUGGAAAGUCCGACGGUACAGGGUGAUAGUCCCGUACACCAAAAUGCACAGGCUGUGAACUCGAAGAGUAGGGCGGGACACGUGGUAUCCUGUCUGAAUAUGGGGGGACCAUCCUCCAAGGCUAAAUACUCCUGACUGACCGAUAGUGAACCAGUACCGUGAGGGAAAGGCGAAAAGAACCCCGGCGAGGGGAGUGAAAAAGAACCUGAAACCGUGUACGUACAAGCAGUGGGAGCACCUU
rnacentral:rRNA from 3 species